UACGUAGGGGGCAAGCGUUGUCCGGAUUUAUUGGGCGUAAAGAGCGUGUAGGCGGUUUGGUAGGUCCGCUGUGAAAACUCGAGGCUCAACCUCGAGACGCCGGUGGAAACCAUCAGACUAGAGUCCGGAAGAGGAGAGUGGAAUUCCGUGGUGUAGCGGUGAAAUGCGCAGAUAUCAGGAGGAACACCAAUUGCGAAGGCAGUGUCCUGGGGAGUACCUGACGCUCAGGUGCGAAAGCCAGGGGAGCGAACGGG
rnacentral:rRNA from 1 species